UCAAGUGACUAAGCGUGCACGGUGGAUGCCUUGGCAUCUGGAGGCGAUGAAAGACGUAGUAGCCUGCGAUAAGCUUCGGUGAGGUGGCAAACAACCUUUGACCCGGAGAUCUCUGAAUGGGGAAACCCACCUGUCAUCAGGCAGGUAUCCUUAACUGAAUACAUAGGUUAAGGAGGCGAACCGGGAGAACUGAAACAUCUAAGUACCCCGAGGAAAAGAAAUCAACCGAGAUUCCCUUAGUAGUGGCGAGCGAACGGGGACCAGCCCUUAAGUUGUAUUGAGAUUAGCGGAACGCUCUGGAAAGUGCGGCCAUAGUGGGUGAUAGCCCUGUACGCGAAAGUCUCUUUGCAAUGAAAUCGAGUAGGACGGAGCACGAGAAACUUUGUCUGAAUAUGGGGGGACCAUCCUCCAAGGCUAAAUACUCCUGACUGACCGAUAGUGAACCAGUACCGUGAGGGAAAGGCGAAAAGAACCCCGGAGAGGGGAGUGAAAUAGAUCCUGAAACCGUAUGCGUACAAGCAGUGGGAGCCCACUUUGUUGGGUGACUGCGUACCUUUUGUAUAAUGGGUCAGCGACUUAUUUUCAGUGGCGAGCUUAACCGAAUAGGGGAGGCGUAGCGAAAGCGAGUGUUAAUAGCGCGUUUAGUCGCUGGGAAUAGACCCGAAACCGGGCGAUCUAUCCAUGAGCAGGUUGAAGGUUGAGUAACAUCAACUGGAGGACCGAACCCACUGUCUUUGAAAAGCCAGGGGAUGACUUGUGGAUAGGAGUGAAAGGCUAAUCAAGCCCGGAGAUAGCUGGUUCUCCUCGAAAACUAUUUAGGUAGUGCCUCGUGUCUAACCAUGGGGGGUAGAGCACUGUUAAGGCUAGGGGGUCAUCCCGACUUACCAACCCUUUGCAAACUCCGAAUACCCAUGAGUUCAAUCACGGGAGACACACGGCGGGUGCUAACGUCCGUCGUGGAAAGGGAAACAACCCAGACCGUCAGCUAAGGUCCCAAAGUCAUGGUUAAGUGGGAAACGAUGUGGGAAGGCAUAGACAGCUAGGAGGUUGGCUUAGAAGCAGCCACCCUUUAAAGAAAGCGUAAUAGCUCACUAGUCGAGUCGGCCUGCGCGGAAGAUGUAACGGGGCUAAAACUAUAUGCCGAAGCUGCGGAUUUGCAAUUUAUUGCAAGUGGUAGGGGAGCGUUCU
rnacentral:rRNA from 1 species